CCAGAUUUGUGUAUGGUAUUAGAUUAUUUCAUUCGAUCUGAAACCUAAAUAUUAGAAAAUACAUCAAAGAUGUUAUUAUCAAUCUGAAUCGGUUUAGUUUCUUCAAGUUGAAAAACAGAGUUAUAGUUUUCACGAUUUCUGCAAACUGAGUUUGGGGAAUUGCAAUAAACAAUCUAGCAAGCUAAGAAGAUACUUGCCACAGUAGUAGAAUAACCAUUAGUUCUAAGAUGGAUCGACAACUGAAAAAAAGCUUCAAGCUUAUAUUGAUGAAAUGUUAGAACUAAAACCUUUCACACCUAGAUCAAAUGUCGACUAAAAUUUUUUAUAAUUACCCCCAAAAAAUAAAUCAUUCCAAAAAUCCAAUAAAUGUAGAAUGACAAACUUACCAUAAUGUGUAUUGACAAAACCAUUUGUUUUACUGGAAUUACUGAUGAUCAAGUUAUCCAUUAUGCCAUUUUCAUGU